UACGUAGGGCGCAAGCGUUAUCCGGAAUUAUUGGGCGUAAAGAGCUCGUAGGCGGUUUGUCGCGUCUGCCGUGAAAGUCCGGGGCUCAACUCCGGAUCUGCGGUGGGUACGGGCAGACUAGAGUGAUGUAGGGGAGAUUGGAAUUCCUGGUGUAGCGGUGAAAUGCGCAGAUAUCAGGAGGAACACCGAUGGCGAAGGCAGGUCUCUGGGCAUUAACUGACGCUGAGGAGCGAAAGCAUGGGGAGCGAACAGG
rnacentral:rRNA from 1 species